CGGGGUGGAGAAAGAGACAUAGAAGGCCCUGGAGAUUCCCCCAUGGGCGAUGGACCAGGCGCCAUUGGUGGAGUUGCCAUUGGCGGUGAAGGGGGUGAGGUCAACGAUGGACCCGGCGCCAUUGAUGGAGCUGCCAUUGGCGGUGCAGGGGGUGAGGUCAUGGAUGGACCAGGCGCCAUUGAUGGGGCUGACAUUGGCGGUGCAGGGGGUGAGGUCAUGGAUGGACCAGGCGCCAUCGGUGGAGCUGCCAUUGGCGGUGGUGACAUGGCCGGCGGCAUACUAGUUGAAGGCGGAGUUGCAGCCAUUUGUGGUGGUGCCGCCAUGCUAGAUGGUGGCAUUGCUGGUGUUGCCAUUGGAGGUG
rnacentral:lncRNA from 1 species